GCGUGGGUGAAGAAGGCCUUAGGGUUGUAAAGCCCUUUCAGCGGGGACGAUAAUGACGGUACCCGCAGAAGAAGCUCCGGCUAACUUCGUGCCAGCAGCCGCGGUAAUACGAAGGGAGCUAGCGUUGUUCGGAAUUACUGGGCGUAAAGGGCGCGUAGGCGGGUUUCCAAGUCGGGGGUGAAAUUCCAGGGCUCAACCCUGGGACGGCCUUCGAUACUGGGAGCCUGGAGAUCGGGAGAGGUGAGUGGAAUUCCGAGUGUAGAGGUGAAAUUCGU
rnacentral:rRNA from 1 species